GAUGAACGCUGGCGGCGUGCCUAAUACAUGCAAGUCGAGCGAACAGACGAGGAGCUUGCUCCUCUGACGUUAGCGGCGGACGGGUGAGUAACACGUGGAUAACCUACCUAUAAGACUGGGAUAACUUCGGGAAACCGGAGCUAAUACCGGAUAAUAUAUUGAACCGCAUGGUUCAAUAGUGAAAGACGGUUUUGCUGUCACUUAUAGAUGGAUCCGCGCCGCAUUAGCUAGUUGGUAAGGUAACGGCUUACCAAGGCGACGAUGCGUAGCCGACCUGAGAGGGGGAUCGGCAACAUGGGAGCUAAGACAGGGCCCAGACUCCACGGGGGGGCAGAAGUAGGAAUUCUCCAGCAAGGGGGGAAACCCGGAAGGACCAACGCGGGGGGAGGGAGGAGGGUCUGCGUAUCGAAAAACGUUGUUAUGGGGGAAGAACAAAUGUGUAAGUACAUAUGCAUGUCUGGAGGUAACCAAAGAAGAAAGCCGCGGCGACUUCGGU
rnacentral:rRNA from 1 species